GAUUAGGCACAGGAGGGCAGCAAGAGCAGGGGGCUGAGUUAGCAAUCAGCUCUGGGCUUCGGAGCCUGGUUCCUGAUCAGAACCUUCCUGUGUAUGUUCAGCUCUCAAAGAAGGCAUGUUGAGUGCUGAACCGUGUAGGAGGCGCUUUCCCACCUAUUUCCUCACCAGACCCUCAUGACAGCCUGCCAGGAGAGCAGGAGUAUUCUGAGGAAACAACUUCUAAACUGACUGCAGAAGAGGUGAGUAGCUGGGGUCAGGAAGCAGCCCGUGCAGAGGCCUGGAGGCAAACCAUUCACUAUCACAGUAAUCCAAGUCUAUGCCCCAACCAGUAACG